ACCAGGGUGGCCGAGUGGUUAUGGCGUUGCACUCAAGAUGCAAUUCACGAAAGUGAGCAUGGGUUCGAUUCCCAUUCCUGGUA
rnacentral:tRNA from 1 species